rnacentral:rRNA from 1 species
GACGAACGCUGGCGGCGUGCUUAACACAUGCAAGUCGAACGGUGAAGCGCCUUCCUUUUUGGUGGGUGUGGAUGAGUGGCGAACGGGUGAGUAACACGUGAGUAACCUGCCCCCUUCUUCUGGAUAACCGCAUGAAAGUGUGGCUAAUACGGGAUAUUCUGGGUCUGUCGCAUGAUGGGUCUGGGAAAGAUAUUGUUUCGGUGGGGGAUGGGCUCGCGGCCUAUCAGCUUGUUGGUGGGGUGAUGGCCUACCAAGGCGGUGACGGGUAGCCGGCCUGAGAGGGUGGACGGUCACACUGGGACUGAGGCACGGCCGAGACUGCUACGGGAGGCAGCAGUGGGGAAUAUUGCACAAUGGGCGCAAUCCUGAUGCAGCGACGCCGCGGGAGGGAUGGAGGCCUUCGGGUUGUGAACCUCUUUCGCCAGUGAAGCAGGCCUGCCUCGUUUGUGGGUGGGUUGACGGUAGCUGGAUAAGAAGCGCCGGCUAACUACGUG